GUCCGUUUUGUUUUGACUGAAAAAUCAACUUUUCAUGGAUAAACAUCAGAGAUAGUAUCUUUCUGGACUUCACAAGCAUUUUUCAAACCAGUAGAUCAUACAAGAUGUUUAAAGGACAUAAAACAUGUGUGACACUGCAGCGCCGCCACAGAACAGCAUCCCCAUAAAUGGCAUGUGUUUGUUAUGGCAUGUUAAGAAGAAGCACUGAGAGGGAAAGAGAGACGGGUGAUAAAUGUUUCUCACGGUCAAGAGGAGAGGAACUGGGCUUGUAACUGGAGGGCUGCCGGUUUAAAUCCCAGGAUGGGUCAAGGGCUGACAGGGCACCUAAUCGCCCAUUGCUCCCCAGGACUCUGCGUUGGCAUCCAUUACUUUGUGCAGCCCAACCAAGUUGAGCAGAGAAAGGAAGAAGAUCCCCCAGCCUGCCAUGCCUCCUGCACUGUGAACUCAAGUGAGACAGCACGUCCAGGCUCCCAGCUGAUAUAUCCAGCUGGUUCACUUGUCAACCAAUUGAGAGAGGCAGUGAAACUGGCAGUUAAAAGCCAACUGGGAGUCCUCUGGAGGAAAUGUCCAAUUAUGAUUAGUUCCAUGUCAAAUGUGUUUUCUCUGGCAUCAUCUCAGCCUCACAAAACUUUGUAUAUGUAGACUUAAAGGUACAGUUUGUAAAAAUGUGGUAACAUUUAUAGGUGAAGUUGCAUGUUGCAGCAGAGUAUUCCUCACUUCCAGAAGUGGAAAGUAAUGAAUUACAUUUACUCAUGUUACUGUAACUGAGUAGGUUUUUUUUGUGUACUUGCACUAUUUUAAAGUCAUUUUUGUAAUUUGCAAAAUGUGUUAUUUUACAUUUACUUAACCGUUAAACACACAUAGAGACAUUUUUGUGUUUUUGGCUUUUCAUUUUUUAAUGCAUAUUGUUAAAAAUCUAUGCCAGGUUGCGCAUUUGUAUUUUUUUUGUUAUUAUUUUUAUGUUAACUAAAAUACUCACACUAACACACUUACGCACAAAAAUGUGCUCAUUGAAACCCAUUCAAACCUCUAUUUUUGAUGCAUCAUGACAAAACUGAAACUUUUUAAUGAAAACUUUAAAAAUGUAUUAAAAAAAUUAAAAAAAAUCCCACUGGAAACUUUGGCAGUGACAGGAGAAUGGGCUAAUUAAGGUUCCUGGGUGACCUUUGACCCAUUUUGUCUGAUACUUUAUGUGUCUACAUACUUUAUUUUGUCAGCACUUUAAUUUUUAAAGGUUUUCCUUUUAAUUAAAAAUAAUUAAUGUGA